AUGCCACAGCGCCCAUCAGGGUGGUGGUGCCCCUGGACCUGACUGCAGCACAGUUUGUGCAGGUACUUCGGGACAAUGUAUCCGGAGUACCAGAGGAAUUCACGUUGUGCAGGGUCAAUGGGCAGCGGCAGGUUGAGCCAUUGGAGGUUACAACUCCAGGGGAGAUUCACAGCCUCCGCAGCCUGAACAGGUCUAACCUGUAUAUCAGGCCAAAGAAUUCCAACGCUGCAGAAGCAGUGAGUUCGCAGGAUGCCACUGUCCAGCAGCCGCCUCAGGUGGAAAUAGCAGCAGCCGGGUAAGUUUCAUUAUGGUCUAACAAAAGGUUUCAGCUGAUGUCACUAUGUAUGAGCAUGCAUGAAUACACGGGUGAUUCUUUAACUACGGGCACUAUUGGCCUUGCAAACUUGAAGAGAAAACAUAUAAUAAAUUAUAAAUUCUCACUAUGUGAUUGGUUUGCAUAACUACUGUAGUUUGAAGAUUCAUAAGAAAAUACACUAAUUUCUUAAGACAAAUUGGUGUUUUUUAACAGUUUUCCAAAAUCGGCUUGCACAAAUGUAAUUUCCAUCACAUAUAAAUAUUUGUCAUUUAUUCCAAAAUACUCUGUAACACAUAAUGUUUUUUCACUGGAAGAACAUUUCAUAUAUAUAUUUAACUGUUUAU